rnacentral:rRNA from 1 species
GGUGCGAGCGUUGUCCGGAAUUACUGGGCGUAAUCAGCUCGUAGGCGGUAUGUCGCGUCGUCUGUGAAAACCCGCAGCUCAACUCGCCGCAAGCACCGGAUACGGGCAGACUCGAGUACUGCAGGGGAGACUGGAAUUCCUGGUGUAGCGGUGAAAUGCGCAGAUAUCAGGAGGAACACCGGUGGCGAAGGCGGGUGUCUGGGCAGUAACUGACGCUGAGGAGCCAAUCCGUGGGUAGCGAACAGGAUUAGAUACCCUGGUAGUCCACGCCGUAAACGGUCCCGCGUAGGUGUGGGUUUCCUUCCACGGGAUCCGUGCCGUAGCCAACGCAUUAAGCGCCCCGCCUGGGGAGUACGGCCGCAAGGCUAAAACUCAAAGGAAUUGACGGGGGCCCGCACAAGCGGCGGAGCAUGUGGAUUAAUUCGAUGGUACGCGUUCUU